rnacentral:rRNA from 1 species
CGGCACGGGUGAGUAACGCGUGGAUAAUCUACCCUUAAGAUGGGGAGUAACGGCUGGAAACGGUCGCUAAUACCGAAUACGCUCCCGAUUUUUAUUCGUUGGGGGGAAAGGAUGGCCUCUGCUUGCAAGCUAUCGCUUAAGGAUGAGUCCGCGUCCCAUUAGCUAGUUGGCGGGGUAACGGCCCACCAAGGCAACGAUGGGUAGCCGGUCUGAGAGGAUGACCGGCCACACUGGAACUGGAACACGGUCCAG